GGGCGUGUGGUCUAGGCGAGCUUUUCGAACGGAUACUCGUGGACAAUGGUUAUGACGCUGCCUUGACGUGGCAGAUAUCGCAGGUUCAACUCCUGCCACGCCCA
rnacentral:tRNA from 1 species